rnacentral:rRNA from 1 species
GACGAACGCUGGCGGCGUGCCUAAUACAUGCAAGUCGAACGCAGUGGGGACGGGUGAGUAACACGUGGGUAACCUGCCAUCAGAGGGGAUAACACUUGGAAACAGGUGCUAAACCGAUACUGAUGGAUGGACCCGCGGUGAAUUAGCUAGUUGGGGAGGUAACGGCUCACCAAGGCCACGAUGCAUAGCCGGCCGGAGAGGCUGAUCGGCCACACUGGGACUGAGACACGGCCCAGACUCCUACGGGAGGCAGCAGUGGGGAAUCUUGGGCAAUGGACGAAAGCCUGACCGAGCAACGCCGCGUGAGUGAAGAAGGUUUUCGGAUUGUAAAGCUCUGUUGUUAGAGAAGCGGUAUCUAACCAGAAAGCCACGGCUAACUACGUGCCAGCAGCCGCGGUAAUAC